rnacentral:lncRNA from 1 species
CCAGCUCCUACCUCCCGGCAGCCUCUCCAGGCCCAGAACUUUCUCCAAUCAGCCUCUACAGACCAAGCUCAUGACUCACAAUGGCCUAUUUAGGCCCAUACCCUACGUCACGGCAGUCUCCGCAGAUGAGCCUACUGCCCCACAACAGCCUCCACAGGCACAGCUCCAUCGUUACAAUGGCCUCUUUAGACCCAGCUCCUGCCUCCCAGCCUUCUCUCCAGGCCCUGAACUUUCUCAAGUCGACCUCACCAGGCCCAGCUCAUGCUUCUUUGCAGCCUCUCCAGGCCCAGCUCCUGCAUCUUGGUGGCCCCUCCAGGCCCAGCCUCUGCCUCCCGUCGGCCUCUACAGUCCCAACAUCUGCCUCACAGCAGAUUCUUCACGCCCAGCAUCUGCCUCACUGUGGACCCCCCAAGCCAAGCUCCCAACCUUUCAGCAGCUUCUACACACCCAGCUCCUGCCACCCAGUGGCCUCUUUAGGCCAAGCUCAUGCUUCACAAGGGCCUUUCCAGGCCCAACUUUUGUCUCAUGGCAACCUUCCCUGGCCAGAUUCCUGCCUGUCUCCCAGCAGCCUAGACAGGCCCAGGGCCUCUCUACAUGCAGCUUAUGCCUCACGGUGGCCUCUCCAGGCCCAACUCCUGUCCCAGGACGUCAUCUCCGGGCCCAAAACUUACUCAAGUCAGACUCUGUAGUCCCAACUGCUGCCUCCUGGUGGCCUAUGAAGGCCCAAAAUCUCCUCAAGUUGACCUUUCCAGGCCCAGCUCCUGCCUCCUGUCAGCGUCUACAGGCCCAACCUCUACGUCAUGGGGGCUUCUCCAGGCCCACCUCUUCCUCUUGGCUGGGUCUACAGGCACAACUGCUGCCUCACAACAGCCUUUUUUGGCCCAGUUCCUGUCCAGCUCAUGGCGGCCAAUGUAGGCCCAAAACUUCCUCAAGUCAAACUCUCCAGGCCCACCUUCUGCUUCCCAGUGGCAUGAACAGGCCCAGCUUUGACUUGAGAACAGCCUCUGCAGGCCCUGCUCUUGCCUCCCAGGGGCUUUUUCCAGGCCCAGCUCUUGCCUCAUGGCAGCUGCCCCAGGCCAAAUUUCUGCCUGCCUGCCAGCAGCCUCAACAGGCAUAGCUCCUCCCUCACAGUGGCCCAUUUAGGCCCAAC